GGGCAGCUCUCCUGCCCUGCUCACUGUCUGACUAGCCACCCACUGUAACACCGGGUCGGUUUUGUAAACAUAUUAACUUGUUUCCGUGACUGCAAAUAUCCUGUGACUAAGAAUGCCUGAUUUCCUGGCAAUGCAGCCCAGCAGCUCUCAGCCUCAUCUGACCCAGCCCCUAUUCAAGAUGGAGACGCCCUGGUUCAGACGCCUCUGACAGAUGCUCCAAGAUGAUGUGAAGCAAAUUUCACGACUAACGAUGGCCCGAAGGCUCCUUCCCUCCACGGGAUUCUGCUCCAGCCACAGCAGAGACUAUUUUGCACACCUUCCAGACAUUGCUGCCCCAUUCCAGCAGAUACAAGUGCCCUUCUUGUCUCAUGGACUCAAUCAGGAGAUAUGAAGAUUGACAACUGAUUGGCAAAAGUGAAGUCACUGUGUGACCUGUCCUGAAAAGAUGGUGGCUGCAUCUAGAAACAGUGACGUGUUUGGGGAACAAUGGAGUAGAGUCAGAGACGCACCUACUAAGACAUUUUGGCUGCUGGGCACCUGAACAUGAGCAAUGUGAAGCUUCCGGUGCGUGUUUCCAUAGAGAGUUUUCUGAUAAUGUGUCAGUUAUUUUUAGCCACAAAACACUAUAAGACAACUGAGCAUGCUUUUCAGUGGCUAACAACUAUAAGCAUUAAUUUUGCUCAUGCACUAAGGGAUGACUGAGCCCUUCUGCUGGCCUGGGCCACGCCUAACUGAUUGCAGCUGGGCUAGCUCUUGCAUCAGCUGGUGGAUUGGCCUGGGGCAGGCUGGCCUGGGGUAGCUUUGGUUGGGAUGAUUUUUUUCUGCUCUGUGGUCUUUCAUCUUGUGAUAGGCUAGUCUCGGCUUUUCCUACAGUGGAGGCAGGGGUCUGAGGGAAGAAGUGGAAACACUUGAGGCCUGGGAGGCCUACUCUGAUAAUAAGCCAAGUCACCUCUGCUGCAUUCUAUUGGUUAGAGCAAGCCACAGCUCAGCCCAGACACAAGAGUUGGGCAACACCCUCUACUUCUUGAUGAGAGGAGCUAACAUGUAACUUUGCAAAUGGAAUAAAUAUAGAAAAAGGUGAAAAUUCAGGGCCAUUUUUGCAAUCAGUCCAUUACAGAUGGUUUAUUAUUGAGAAACAUCUAUACAUCCAUAUCCAUAUAAAAUUACAUAUCUGUAUCUAUUUUUGAUGUUAUAGUUGACCCCUGAUCCAGAGAAGAAAGGGAUAGAGUGUAAUAAUCUCUGCUUUCUGGUGGAUCUCCUGUUGUUGAGUAAAAGGGAAUAUGAUCAGGAAAUCACAAAUAUCAAAAGAAUGGAAUGGAUAACUGACAAAUGAUUUAUAUUCCAUAUGCGUAUGUCACAUUUAAUAAAACAAAAUUAUGGCUGAGCACAGUGGCUCACACCUAUAAUCUUAGCACUUUGGAGGCCGAGGAGGGCGGAUCACAAGGUCAAGUUUAAGACCAGCCUGAACGACAUGGUGAAACCCCGUCUCUACUAAAAAUACAAAAAUUAGCUGGGCAUGGUGGUGCAUACCUGUAAUCCUAGCUAUUCAGGAGGCUGAGGCAGGAGAAUCGCUUGAACCCAGGAGGCAGAGGUUGCAGUGAGCUAAGAUCGUGCCACUGCACUCCAGCCUGGGUGACAGAGUGAGACUCCAUCUCAAACAAACAAACAAACAAACACCCCACAAAACUACAUAAUAGGAAAAUGUACUUGAUAAUAUUAAACUUUUAAGCAGUCCUUUAGAAAUGGCUGAGAAAAGUGAUUAGGAAAAGGGUGAAAACCUCCAACACUUAGGGAAAAUCCUGUAGCUAUCAGCGGCAGAAAGCAAUCCUUAAUUUUCCGUAUGUCCCAGAGGGAAUGAGAAAGUCAACUGGACUGAGGCUGU
rnacentral:lncRNA from 10 species